rnacentral:misc_RNA from 1 species
GGAAGUAUAAGUCGUAACAAGGUUUCCGUAGGUGAACCUGCGGAAGGAUCAUUACCUAGUUCGGGCCCCCCCGGGGGCCCUUCUGUGGCGCCGCCCCGCGGCGUCCGCAGUUAAACCCUUUGUGAAAACCCUUGUUGCUUCGGCAGCGCCUCCCCGCCCCGGCGGGGAGGGUCAGCCUGCCGACGGCACCCGGAAAAUUCAUUUCGUAAAGAAGUAAAUAGUCUGAUAAAGUUAGUCGAAUGACUGUUAAAACUUUCAACAACGGAUCUCUUGGUUCCC